UUGGACGGCGUGAUAUUAAUUAAUAAAGAGUGGGAGAGGAGGACGCGUCGGCCGUUGACGGUCGAGCCGUUCGUCGAAUUCGGCAGGCUACGAUCAACACCCGUGCAAUACAGUUAUCGUAGCAUUUUUUUUUCGUUUUUUGUUCUUUUUUUGCACAUUCAGAGUAUUUUAUACUCAUUAUUUUAUAUUAUUACAUUUACUUAUUUUAUUCGUCUAAUACUUAAUUCAGUUAUUAUUAUUCGGUUGUUUUUUUUAUUAUAUCAAGGAUUUCGAAGACCGUCUGUUCAUAAUGGUUAAAAUCUGUGUCAUGUGCGGUAACGUCGAUGCUGUUAUUGGAGUUUCAUUACACAGAUUUCCGUCAAACGUCGCACGCAGAUUUCUGUGGGUGCAGUUCGUGGAGACCAACGGUUUUGCUGUUCGCCCCACCUCAAUGCUCUGUUCAAGACAUUUCGUUCCUCGACUCGACUACUUACCGAGUGCCAACCGUCGCCGCCUCUACAACGCAG